rnacentral:rRNA from 1 species
AGUGAACGCUGGCGGCGUGCCUAAUACAUGCAAGUCGAACGGAGUGGCGCACGGGUGUGUAAUAUAUAGCUAAUAUGCCCCUAGCUGGGGGACAACAGUCAGAAAUGACUGUUAAUACUCCAUAGCAAGGGAUGAGACACUAUCGUAUCAGCUAGUCGGUGGGGUCACGGCCGACCGAGGCUAUGACGCGUAACUGGUCUGAGAGGAUGAUCAGCCACAGUGGAACUGAGACACGGACCAAAGGCCUACGGGAGUCAGCAGUAGGGAAUAUAGCGCAAGGGGGGUGUACCGGAGGCGGCAACGCCGCGUGGAGGAUGAGACUUUUCGGAGCGUAAACUCCUUUUGUUAGGGAAGCGGUACCUAACGAAUAAGCACCGGCUAACUCCGUGCCAGCAGCCGCGGUAAUUC